CCUACGGGAGGCAGCAGUGAGGAAUAUUGCACAAUGGGCGAAACCCUGAUGCAGCGACGCCGCGUGGGGGAAGAAGGGCCUCGGCGCGUAAAGCCCUGUCAGCAGGGGAGAAAAUGACGGUACCUGAAGAAGACGCCCCGGCUAACUACGUGCCAGCAGCCGCGGUAAUCCGGAGGGGGCCAGCGUUAUCCGGAUUUACUGGGUGUAAAGGGGGCGCAGACGGCGCUGCAAGCCAGGAGUGAAAGCCCGGGGCCCAACCCCGGGACUGCGCUGGGAACUGCGUGGCUAGAGUGCAGGAGGGGCAGGCGGAAUUCCUGGUGUAGCGGUGAAAUGCGUAGAUAUCAGGAGGAACACCGGUGGCGAAGGCGGCCUGCUGGACUGCAACUGACGUUGAGGCCCGAAAGCGUGGGGAGCAAACAGGAUUAGAUACCCUAGUAGUC
rnacentral:rRNA from 1 species